AUUGAACGCUGGCGGCAUGCUUUACACAUGCAAGUCGAACGGCAGCACGGACUUCGGUCUGGUGGCGAGUGGCGAACGGGUGAGUAAUACAUCGGAACGUGCCCAGUUGUGGGGGAUAACUACUCGAAAGAGUAGCUAAUACCGCAUGAGAACUGAGGUUGAAAGCAGGGGAUCGUAAGACCUUGCGCAACUGGAGCGGCCGAUGGCAGAUUAGGUAGGUGGUGGGAUAAAAGCUUACCAAGCCGACGAUCUGUAGCUGGUCUGAGAGGACGACCAGACACACUGGGACUGAGACACGGCCCAGACUGCGACGGGAGGCAGCAGUGGGGAAUUUUGGACAAUGGGCGAAAGCCUGAUCCAGCAAUGCCGCGUGCAGGAUGAAGGCCUUCGGGUUGUAAACUGCUUUUGUACGGAACGAAAAGCUUCGGGCUAAUACCCUGGAGUCAUGACGGUACCGUAAGAAUAAGCACCGGCUAACUACGUGCCAGCCGCCGCCGUAAUAC
rnacentral:rRNA from 1 species